AUACGGAGGAUGCGAGCGUUAUCCGGAUUUAUUGGGUUUAAAGGGAGCGUAGGUGGGAUAUUAAGUCAGCUGUGAAAGUUUGGGGCUCAACCGUAAAAUUGCAGUUGAUACUGGGUGUCUUGAGUACAGUAGAGGCAGGCGGAAUUCGUGGUGUAGGGGGGUAAUGCUUAGAUAUCACGAAGAACUCCGAUUGCGAAGGCAGCCUGCUGGACUGUAACUGACGCUGAUGCUCGAAAGUGUGGGUAUCAAACAGGAUUAGAUACCCUGGUAGUCCACACAGUAAACGAUGAAUACUCGCUGUUUGCGAUAUACAGUAAGCGGCCAAGCGAAAGCGUUAAGUAUUCCACCUGGGGAGUACGCCGGCAACGGUGAAACUCAAAUGAAUUGACGGGG
rnacentral:rRNA from 1 species